GAUGAAGAACGUAGCGAAAUGCGAUAAGUAAUGUGAAUUGCAGAAUUCAGUGAAUCAUCGAAUCUUUGAACGCACAUUGCGCCCGCCAGUAUUCUGGCGGGCAUGCCUGUCCGAGCGUCAUUUCAACCCUCGAACCCCUCCGGGGGGUCGGCGUUGGGGAUCGGCCCUUUACGGGGCCGGCCCCGAAAUACAGUGGCGGUCUCGCCGCAGCCUCUCCUGCGCAGUAGUUUGCACACUCGCAUCAGGAGCGCGGCGCGUCCACAGCCGUUAAACACCCCAAACUUCUGAAAUGUUGACCUCGGAUCAGGUAGGAAUACCCGCUGAACUUAAGCAUAUCAAUAAGCGGAGGA
rnacentral:misc_RNA from 1 species